rnacentral:rRNA from 1 species
AUUGAACGCUGGCGGCAUGCCUUACACAUGCAAGUCGAACGGUAACGGGCCUUCGGGUGCCGACGAGUGGCGAACGGGUGAGUAAUGUAUCGGAACGUACCUUUCAGUGGGGGAUAACGUAGCGAAAGUUACGCUAAUACCGCAUAUUCUGUGAGCAGGAAAGCAGGGGAUCGCAAGACCUUGCGCUGAUCGAGCGGCCGAUAUCAGAUUAGCUAGUUGGUGAGGUAAAGGCUCACCAAGGCGACGUUCUGUAGCGGGUCUGAGAGGAUGAUCCGCCACACUGGAACUGAGGCACGGUCCAGACUGCUACGGGAGGCAGCAGUGGGGAAUUUUGGACAAUGGGGGCAACCCUGAUCCAGCCAUGCGGCGUGAGUGAAGAAGGCCUUCGGGUUGUAAAGCUCUUGCGGCCGGGAAGAAAUCGUAUCAGCUAAUACCUGGUGCGGAUGACGGUACCGGCAUAAGAAGCACCGGCUAACGACGUGCCAGCAGCCGCCGUAAUAC